AGAUUCUCGCAAAUGUGGAAGCGGAUCGCGUGGAGUGACGGUCACACCGCGGCGAAUUAAUUUCCAAAGACUCAUGUUACAUGAGAAAGCCACCAAGAAGACCAAAGAAAAGGAGACAAGGAUGGCUCUUCCUCAGGAUUGACUUCUAAGGACUCUUGGUACAUGAGGAAGAAACUCGGAAGAGGAAGAGGAAAGCAAAGGCGUCAGGAAUGGCUCUUCCUCAGGGUCUAUUGACAUUCAGGGACGUGGCCAUAGAAUUCUCUCAGGAGGAGUGGAAAUGCCUGGACCCUGCUCAGAGGACUCUAUACAGGGACGUGAUGCUGGAGAAUUAUAGGAACCUGGUCUCCCUGGGUGAGGAUAACUUCCCUCCAGAAGUGGGGAUGUGCCCUUGUGGAUCUUUGUAUUUUCUCCAGUUGCCUCCUGGAGCCCCAUUCUUGCUUGACUAAAAUGGAAGCCGUAUUGAUUUCAAACUGAAAAGCUUCAUGAUGUAGCAUCUGGACUUUCACUGUGCCCUUUGUUUAGAUGUUCUGCAUUCUCUUUGUUUAGAUGUUCUGCAUUCUUCGUGAUAGCUCAGUGGGGGUUCCAGAAGUAAAGUAGGCA
rnacentral:sRNA from 1 species